rnacentral:rRNA from 1 species
AGAGUUUGAUCCUGGCUCAGAUUGAACGCUGGCGGCAUGCCUUACACAUGCAAGUCGAACGGCAGCGCGGGGGCAACCCUGGCGGCGAGUGGCGAACGGGUGAGUAAUACAUCGGAACGUGUCCUGGAGUGGGGGAUAGCUCGGCGAAAGCCGGAUUAAUACCGCAUACGCUCUACGGAGGAAAGCGGGGGAUCUUCGGACCUCGCGCUCAAGGGGCGGCCGAUGGCGGAUUAGCUAGUUGGUGGGGUAAAGGCCUACCAAGGCGACGAUCCGUAGCUGGUCUGAGAGGACGACCAGCCACACUGGGACUGAGACACGGCCCAGACUCCUACGGGAGGCAGCAGUGGGGAAUUUUGGACAAUGGGGGAAACCCUGAUCCAGCAAUGCCGCGUGUGUGAAGAAGGCCUUCGGGUUGUAAAGCACUUUUGUUCGGGAAGAAAUCCUUCGAGCUAAUACCUUGAGGGGAUGACGGUACCGGAAGAAUAAGCACCGGCUAACUACGUGCCAGCAGCCGCGGUAAUACGUAGGGUGCGAGCGUUAAUCGGAAUUACUGGGCGUAAAGCGUGCGCAGGCGGUUCGCUAAGACCGAUGUGAAAUCCCCGGGCUUAACCUGGGAACUGCAUUGGUGACUGGCGGGCUAGAGUAUGGCAGAGGGGGGUAGAAUUCCACGUAGCAGUGAAAUGCGUAGAGAUGUGGAGGAAUACCGAUGGCGAAGGCAGCCCCCUGGGCCAAUACUGACGCUCAUGCACGAAAGCGUGGGGAGCAAACAGGAUUAGAUACCCUAGUAGUCC